rnacentral:rRNA from 1 species
UACAGAGGGGGCAAGCGUUAUUCGGAAUUAUUGGGCGUAAAGGGCGCGUAGGCGGCUUGGCAAGUGGAAGGUGAAAUCCCUCGGCUUAACCGAGGAACUGCCCUCCAAACUGCUUUGCUUGAGGCCGGGAGAGGUGAGUGGAAUUCCCAGUGUAGCGGUGAAAUGCGUAGAUAUCGGGAGGAACACCUGAGGCGAAGGCGGGCUACUGGGCUGAUACUGACGCUGAUGCGCGAAAGCCGGGGGGGCAAACGGG